GUAACCUGCCCCUGGGAAGGGGAUAACCCUCCGAAAGGGGGGCUAAUACCCUAUAUUGCCGGGGACCACUAAGGUCUCCCGGUGAAAGGUGGCCUCUGUCCUUCACGGGCAUGCUACCGCCCAGGGAGGGGCUCGCGGCCCAUCAGGUAGUUGGUGGGGUAACGGCCUACCAAGCCUAUGACGGGUAGCCGGCCUGAGAGGGUGGCCGGCCACAGUGGGACUGAGACACGGCCCACACCCCUACGGGGGGCAGCAGUGGGGAAUCGUGGGCAAUGGGCGAAAGCCUGACCCCGCGACGCCGCGUGGGGGAUGAAGCCCUUCGGGGUGUAAACCCCUGUCGGGGGGGACGAUGUGUCCUGGGGUGAAUAAUCCCAGGACAUGACGGUACCCCCAGAGAAAGCCACGGCUAACUGCGUGCCAGCAGCCGCGGUAAUACGCAGGUGGCGAGCGUUGCCCGGAAUUACUGGGCGUAAAGGGUGCGUAGGCGGCCGGACAAGUCGUAGGUUAAAGCCCGGGGCUCAACCCCGGAAAGGCCUACGAUACUGUCUGGCUUGAGGGCUGGAGAGGCUGGCGGAAUUCCCGGUGUAGGGGUGAAAUCCGUAGAUAUCGGGAGGAACACCGGAGGGGAAGCCGGCCAGCUGGACAGCUCCUGACGCUGAGGCACGAAAGCGUGGGGAGCAAACCGGAUUAGAUACCCGGGUAGUCCACGCCGUAAACGAUGGGUGCUAGGUCUGGGGAGGUAUCUCUCUGGCCGAAGCUAUCGCGUUAAG
rnacentral:rRNA from 1 species